GCUACGGGAGGCAGCAGUGGGGGAUAUUGGGCAAUGGGGGGAAGCCUGACCCAGCAACGCCGCGUGAAGGAAGAAGGAUUUCGGGAUGUAAACUUCUUUUCUCAGGGACGAAGGAAGUGACGGUACCUGAGGAAUAAGCCACGGCUAACUACGUGCCAGCAGCCGCGGUAAUACGUAGGUGGCAAGCGUUAUCCGGAUUUACUGGGUGUAAAGGGAGUGUAGACGGGGGUGCAAGUCAGGUUUGAAAGCCACGGGCUCAACCCGUGGACUGCAUUUGAAACUGUGUUGCUUGAGUGCUGGAGAGGUAGACGGAAUUCCUAGUGUAGCGGUGAAAUGCGUAGAUAUUAGGAGGAACACCAGUGGCGAAGGCGGUCUGCUGGACUGUAACUGACGUUGAGGCGCGAAAGCGUGGGGAGCAAACAGGAUUAGAUACCCUUGUAGUC
rnacentral:rRNA from 1 species